rnacentral:rRNA from 1 species
CCUACGGGAGGCAGCAGUGGGGAAUAUUGGGCAAUGGGCGCAAGCCUGACCCAGCAACGCCGCGUGAAGGAAGAAGGCUUUCGGGUUGUAAACUUCUUUUGACAGGGAAGAGCAGAAGACGGUACCUGUCGAAUAAGCCACGGCUAACUACGUGCCAGCAGCCGCGGUAAUACGUAGGUGGCAAGCGUUGUCCGGAUUUACUGGGUGUAAAGGGCGUGUAGGCGGGCGAACAAGUCAGAUGGGAAAUCCGGGGGCUCAACCCCGGAAUUGCAUUUGAAACUGUUGGGCUUGAGUAUCGGAGAGGGGGGCAGAAUUCCUGGUGUAGCGGUGAAAUGCGUAGAGAUUGGGAGGAACACCAGUGGCGAAGGCGGCCUGCUGGACAAAGACUGACGGUGAGGCGCGAAAGCGUGGGGAGCAAACAGGAUUAGAUACCCCUGUAGUC